rnacentral:rRNA from 1 species
CCUACGGGUGGCAGCAGUGGGGAAUAUUGCGCAAUGGGCGAAAGCCUGACGCAGCAACGCCGCGUGAGUGAAGAAGGUCUUCGGAUUGUAAAGCUCUGUUAUCAGGGACGAACAAAUGACGGUACCUGAAGAAGAAGCCCCGGCUAACUACGUGCCAGCAGCCGCGGUAAUACGUAGGGGGCAAGCGUUGUCCGGAAUUACUGGGCGUAAAGGGUGCGUAGGCGGGCUCGCAAGUUGGAUGUGUAAUACCCAGAGCUUAACUCGGGUGCUGCAUCUGAAACUACGAGUCUUGAGUGCAGGAGAGGUAAGUGGAAUUCCUAGUGUAGCGGUGAAAUGCGUAGAUAUUAGGAGGAACACCAGUGGCGAAGGCGGCUUACUGGACUGUAACUGACGCUGAGGCACGAAAGCGUGGGGAGCAAACAGGAUUAGAUACCCCAGUAGUC